CGGGGUGUAGCGUAGUCCGGUCCAUCGCGCCAGGUUUGGGACCUGGAGGUCGCAGGUUCGAAUCCUGCCGCCCCGA
rnacentral:tRNA from 2 species